rnacentral:rRNA from 1 species
GACAGAGGUGGCAAGCGUUGUCCGGAAUUACUGGGCGUAAAGAGCGCGUAGGUGGCUAGAUAAGUCCGGUGUGAAAUCCUUCGGCUUAACCGGGGAAUGGCAUCGGGGACUGUAUAGCUAGAGGACGGAAGAGGAGAGCGGAAUUCCCGGUGUAGCGGUGAAAUGUGUAGAGAUCGGGAGGAACACCGGUGGCGAAGGCGGGUCUCUGGGCAUCUCCUGACGCUGAGGCGCGAAAGCGUGGGGAGCAAACGGG